rnacentral:rRNA from 1 species
GACGUAGGGCGCGAGCGUUGUCCGGAUUUAUUGGGCGUAAAGAGCUCGUAGGCGGCUUGUCGCGUCGACUGUGAAAUCCCGCGGCUCAACUGCGGGUCUGCAGUCGAUACGGGCAGGCUAGAGUUCGGUAGGGGAGACUGGAAAUUCCUGGUGUAGCGGUGAAAUGCGUAGAUAUCGAGAGGAACACCUGCGGCGAAGGCGGGUUGCUGGGCUGACACUGACGCUGAUGUGCGAAAGCUAGGGGAGCGAACGGG